rnacentral:hammerhead_ribozyme from 1 species
CCCAGCUGACGAGUCCCAAAUAGAACAAAACGCGCGUCCUGGAG